CCUACGGGUGGCAGCAGUGAGGAAUAUUGGUCAAUGGACGAGAGUCUGAACCAGCCAAGUAGCGUGAAGGAUGACUGCCCUAUGGGUUGUAAACUUCUUUUAUAUGGGAAUAAAAUGUUCCACGUGUGGGAUUUUGUAUGUACCAUAUGAAUAAGGAUCGGCUAACUCCGUGCCAGCAGCCGCGGUAAUACGGAGGAUCCGAGCGUUAUCCGGAUUUAUUGGGUUUAAAGGGAGCGUAGGUGGAUUGUUAAGUCAGUUGUGAAAGUUUGCGGCUCAACCGUAAAAUUGCAGUUGAAACUGGCAGUCUUGAGUACAGUAGAGGUGGGCGGAAUGUGUGGUGUAGCGGUGAAAUGCUUAGAUAUCACGCAGAACUCCGAUUGCGAAGGCAGUUCACUGGACUGCAACUGACACUGAGGCACGAAAGUGUGGGUAUCAAACAGGAUUAGAUACCCUAGUAGUC
rnacentral:rRNA from 1 species